UUGACAGCCCUGGAGACUGAAACCCUCUAUUUAUCCACAGGACAGGUACAGCACAGGCAGCGACAGUGCGAGCUUUCCCCACACCACCCCGUCCAUGUGCCUCAACCCUGACCUGGAGGGACCACCUCUAGAGGUGAGAGGGGAUGUUCAGUCUCCAAGGCUCACUCAAUCCUUCCGCCUCA
rnacentral:sRNA from 1 species